UACGUAGGGCGCAAGCGUUAUCCGGAAUUAUUGGGCGUAAAGAGCUCGUAGGCGGUCUGUUGCGUCGGCUGUGAAAACCCGGGGCUCAACUCCGGGCCUGCAGCCGAUACGGGCAGACUAGAGUGUGGUAGGGGAGACUGGAAUUCCUGGUGUAGCGGUGGAAUGCGCAGAUAUCAGGAGGAACACCGAUGGCGAAGGCAGGUCUCUGGGCCACUACUGACGCUGAGAAGCGAAAGCAUGGGGAGCGAACAGG
rnacentral:rRNA from 1 species